CCUACGGGUGGCAGCAGUGAGGAAUAUUGGUCAAUGGGCGCGAGCCUGAACCAGCCAAGCAGCGUGAAGGAUGACUGCCCUACGGGUUGUAAACUUCUUUUAUAAAGGAAUAAAGUGAGGCACGUGUACCUUUUUGUAUGUACUUUACGAAUAAGGAUCGGCUAACUCCGUGCCAGCAGCCGCGGUAAUACGGAGGAUCCGAGCGUUAUCCGGAUUUAUUGGGUUUAAAGGGAGCGUAGAUGGGUUGUUAAGUCAGUUGUGAAAGUUUGCGGCUCAACCGGAAAAUUGCAAUUGAUACUGGCAGUCUAGAGUACAGUUGAGGUAGGCGGAAUUCUUGGUGUAGCGGUGAAAUGCUUAGAUAUCACGAAGAACUCCGAUUGCGAAGGCAGCUUACUAAACUGUCACUGACAUUGAGGCUCGAAAGUGUGGGUAGCAAACAGGAUUAGAUACCCUUGUAGUC
rnacentral:rRNA from 1 species